rnacentral:misc_RNA from 1 species
CUAAACUCACAAGCCGUUUGGUUGUGCUGGUGGAGACACAUGUGCACGCCGACGGUGAUAUCCACACACCUGUGAAUCUAUGACUCCAAGGUGAAGUUUACCGAUCAUGGUGAAGUGGGUGGGACUUGGUCCUGCCCUUAGCCUUGGAGUACUUUUUAACACAUGCCAAAUGUCGUAGAAUGUCUAUGUGCAUAAUGCGCAACUAUA